GGAGUGGAUGUGGAUGACACAAAGAAACGGUUGAAGGAAAUGGGGGAAGAAGCGGCUGCACUGCGUGAGAUGCAAGCCAAGGUCGAAUCCCAUAUGGUUCUGCAAGCAAGUUGAGGUGACAAGUAGAGAAUCUGAUAUGCAAUCAUAUGAGAAAAUUCAGUAAUUCAAGGCUUUAUGCGGUCUAUUUUGGAAGAGAAUGAUGGGUGGCAAAAGCUUAUAAAUUGAGAGCUCACACAUUGAAGAAGCCACAAUAUCAGAAAAAGAAGGAUUUCAAAUGGGGUGUUAUGCAUGUGGCUGAAUGAGCAAGGAUACAAGGAGGAAAGCAUUUUUAGACAAACAGCUCAAACUCAACAACAAAACUCAACAACAAAAAUAAGAUGGAAUCCAGAAUCUCGCCUUUUGUUUAGAGUACUUAAGAUAUAUAUAUAUUUUUCUUUAACAUUCAUUCUUAUUUCAUGAAGUCCUUAUGUCUCUCAUUCUCUUUAGUGAAUGAUGUAAAUGUGAUGUACUUUUGUUAAGAUUGAAUGCUGGUAUUUUCUUUUGGAAUGUUUGGAAUUAUUAUGUUGGACAUUGAGGUGAUUUUGAUUGAA